rnacentral:lncRNA from 1 species
CAAUAUUCCCAUGUUUCUCCUCAAACUUAGCAUAUUUUAUCCAGUUCUUGACCUCAGGAUGAACAUAAACAAAUCUCUCGUAAAUACUGCGAGCUCUCUCAAACUCCUUGAAGCGAAGUUCGAGAUUAAUGUACGAAUGCCAUGCUUGUUCUUCUGGCUCCCACUCCAUCCAUCUUUCAAACACUUGUCGAGCUCCAGCAAUGUUUCCCAACAUCUCUUCCAUAUAUGUGUACUUGUACC